rnacentral:rRNA from 1 species
CUACGGGAGGCAGCAGUGGGGAAUAUUGCGCAAUGGGCGAAAGCCUGACGCAGCAACGCCGUGUGAGGGAUGAAGGCUUUCGGGUCGUAAACCUCUGUCGGAAGGGAAGAACGGGCAUUGGUCUAAUAGGCCUUUGUUUUGACGGUACCUUUAGAGGAAGCACCGGCUAACUCCGUGCCAGCAGCCGCGGUAAUACGGAGGGUGCAAGCGUUAUUCGGAAUUACUGGGCGUAAAGCGCACGUAGGCGGCCUUGUAAGUCAGGGGUGAAAUCCCACGGCUCAACCGUGGAACUGCCUUUGAAACUGCAGGGCUUGAAUCCUGGAGAGGGUGGCGGAAUUCCUGGUGUAGGAGUGAAAUCCGUAGAUAUCAGGAGGAACACCGGUGGCGAAGGCGGCCACCUGGACAGGUAUUGACGCUGAGGUGCGAAAGUGUGGGGAGCAGACAGGAUUAGAUACCCCUGGUAGUCCACACNNNAAGGCGAUGAAUACUAGGUGCCGGGC